AUGGAAAAACAAUAUUAUAGAGGCACUUUCAUCUUCUGAACUGGUGAGAAGAAAUAUAUGACUUAGUGGUAGUUAAGUAUUUAUAAAAAUAUUUAUUGACAAAUUUAACUUUGACUAAUGAAACGUAAAAAUUGAAACCGUGGUUCCCAAUUGCGUCUCUCGUUUCAGAGUCAUGGUUCCCACUUGGAAAUUUACUGCGUCUCUCGUUUCUCAGUCAAGGUUCCCAAUUGAACCCCUCUCUCUCUCAUCGCAAAACGCUAGUACAAGGCGCUUUAAGACCCAUUUGAAGUAUGAGAAGAACCCAAAGAUUAAGCACUGAGUACUAGAGGAGGGCCGAAGAGAUUCGGGCUGUUCUUGAUUGGAGGGACUGGUUCUCCCUCCAAUGGGGAUGCUGCAGUAGCCACGCGGCGGAAGACAAAGCCUAAGAAUGGAUCGAGGCGGAGACAGAGGGAAGCCAAAUGUGAAGUGGAAUGAUGUUUGCAGGGCUUGAGAGUGCCAAGCAGGCGUUGCAGGAUAUCUGUUUUUGUUUUUAUGUUGCCUCUUGUUGCCUUCAAUGUAAAAACAAACUGAAUGAUGGUAACAAUUCACCAAUGACAAUAAGUACUAAACACAUUUUUUUUGGGGAUUAAAUGGCCUUGUUGAGUCAAAAUUUAUGAGCACAAGAAUUAAACAUAAAGUUAUUACAAACAAUUUGCUCCACCUUUUAAUCUUCAGACAAUGAUCUCCAGUGGGUUGCUCUAUUAGCCGUACUUUCCUGAUUCCAGUUGUAAGUUGUGUAUUAGGAUAUGUCGUAAUGUAUUGUUAUUGUUCUUGCUGUUGUCGUCGUCUUCUUUUUUUUUUUUUUUUUUUUUUUUUUU